AUUGAACGCUGGCGGCAGGCCUAACACAUGCAAGUCGAGCGGAUGAAGGGAGCUUGCUCCUGGAUUCAGCGGCGGACGGGUGAGUAAUGCCUAGGAAUCUGCCUGAUAGUGGGGGAUAACGUCCGGAAACGGGCGCUAAUACCGCAUACGUCCUGAGGGAGAAAGUGGGGGAUCUUCGGACCUCACGCUAUCAGAUGAGCCUAGGUCGGAUUAGCUAGUUGGUGGGGUAAAGGCCUACCAAGGCGACGAUCCGUAACUGGUCUGAGAGGAUGAUCAGUCACACUGGAACUGAGACACGGUCCAGACUCCUACGGGAGGCAGCAGUGGGGAAUAUUGGACAAUGGGCGAAAGCCUGAUCCAGCCAUGCCGCGUGUGUGAAGAAGGUCUUCGGAUUGUAAAGCACUUUAAGUUGGGAGGAAGGGCAGUAAGUUAAUACCUUGCUGUUUUGACGUUACCAAUAGAAUAAGCACCGGCUAACUUCGUG
rnacentral:rRNA from 1 species